AGCGAGGUGGCGAACUGGUGAGUAACACGUGGGUAACCUGCCCCGAAGCGGGGGAUAACAUUUGGAAACAAGUGCUAAUACCGCAUAAUUAGUUGGAACCGCAUGGUUCCAACUUGAAAGAUGGCUCUGCUAUCACUUUGGGAUGGACCCGCGCCGUAUUAGUUAGUUGGUGAGAUAAAAGCCCACCAAGACGAUGAUACGUAGCCGACCUGAGAGGGUAAUCGGCCACAUUGGGACUGAGACACGGCCCAGACUCCUACGGGAGGCAGCAGUAGGGAAUCUUCCACAAUGGACGAAAGUCUGAUGGAGCAACGCCGCGUGAGUGAUGAAGGUUUUCGGAUCGUAAAACUCUGUUGUUAAAGAAGAACAAGUGUUAGAGUAACUGUUAACACUUUGACGGUAUUUAACCAGAAAGCCACGGCUAACUACGUGCCAGCAGCCGCGGUAAUACGUAGGUGGCAAGCGUUGUCCGGAUUUAUUGGGCGUAAAGCGAGCGCAGGCGGUUUUGUAAGUCUGCUGUGAAAGCCCUCAGCUCAACUGAGGAAGUGCAGUGGAAACUACAAAAACUUGAGUACAGAAGAGGAAAGUGGAACUCCAUGUGUAGCGGUGAAAUGCGUAGAUAUAUGGAAGAACACCAGUGGCGAAGGCGGCUUUCUGGUCUGUUACUGACGCUGAGGCUCGAAAGCAUGGGUAGCGAACAGGAUUAGAUACCCUGGUAGUCCAUGCCGUAAACGAUGAAUACUAGGUGUUGGAGGGUUUCCGCCCUUCAGUGCCGCAGCUAACGCAUUAAGUAUUCCGCCUGGGGAGUACGACCGCAAGGUUGAAACUCAAAGGAAUUGACGGGGGCCCGCACAAGUGGUGGAGCAUGUGGUUUAAUUCGAUGCUACGCGAAGAACCUUACCAGCUCUUGACAUCUUCUGCCAACCCAAGAGAUUGGGCGUUCCCUUCGGGGACAGAAUGACAGGUGGUGCAUGGUUGUCGUCAGCUCGUGUCGUGAGAUGUUGGGUUAAGUCCCGCAACGAGCGCAACCCUUAUUAUUAGUUGCCAGCAUUUAGUUGGGCACUCUAGUGAGACUGCCGGUGAUAAACCGGAGGAAGGUGGGGACGACGUCAAAUCAUCAUGCCCCUUAUGAGCUGGGCUACACACGUGCUACAAUGGAUGGUACAACGAGUCGCGAAACCGCGAGGUCAAGCUAAUCUCUUAAAGCCAUUCUCAGUUCGGAUUGCAGGCUGCAACUCGCCUGCAUGAAGUUGGAAUCACUAGUAAUCGUGGAUCAGCAUGCCACGGUGAAUACGUUCCCGGGCCUUGUACACACCGCCCGUCACACCAUGAGAGUUUGUAACACCCAA
rnacentral:rRNA from 2 species